UUUCUCGAAAAUAAAAGAUCUAAAAAAGUCUAGAUGUUUUUGUAUCAACAAAAUUUUCAAAAUUUUUUUAGGUGUGAAAUUCUAAUCGUUUUUAUUAAUAUCUAGUUACUUAGGAAAUAAAUUUAGUUUGAGAGCUUGAGAUAAACUAUAUUUAAAUGGCUCUUUAUGCCUUAGGGGAUGAGCUCUAAGGUAAAUUUAAAAGAUGAAUGAUAAAUAUUUUUUAGGUAGGCUUAGAAUUAGCCACUUUAUAAUGUUAUAAAAUAGAAUUUUAAGAAUGAGAUUUUUGUAUCUUUUAAUUUUACUGAGUUAGUUUCAAAUUUAAUAACAAUCGAAAAAAUGAUAGGAUUAGUAGAUGAAUUAUUAAAUUAAGCCUGAAAUUAUAAAUUUAAAAAAUACAACUAAAGAACUCGGCAAAAAAGAUUUCCGAAUGUUUAACAAAAACAUUUCCUCUUAGUAAAAGAGGUAAGACCUGCUCACUGAGAUUUAAAGAGCCGCAGUAUCCUGACUGUGCUAAGGUAGCAUAAUCAUUAGUCUUUUAAUUGGAGACUGGUAUGAAUGGUUAAACGAGAAAUCAACUUUUUUUGUUGUAAAGCUUGAAUUUAACUUUUUAGUGAAAAGGCUAAAAUUUUUCAAAAAGACGAGAAGACCCUAUAGAGUUUUAUAAUCAAGGGAAUAUUUCUUUCUUAGAUUUUUAUGAGAGGUAUUUACUGUAGUUAUUUUGUUGGGGCGACAUUUAGAUAUAAAAAACUCUUUAUUUUUAAAACUUUUAUGAAAGGUAAAUUGAUCCUUUAAAAAAGAUCAUAAGAAAAAAUUACCUUAGGGAUAACAGCGUAAUCUUUUUUGAGAGUUCUAAUCGACAAAAAGGUUUGCGACCU
rnacentral:rRNA from 1 species